GUCUUUUUGAUUAAUAAUUUAAAGUCUAAUCUGCCCACUGAUAAUAUAUUAAAGGGCUGCAGUAUUUUGACUGUACAAAGGUAGCAUAAUCAUUAGUCUCUUAAUUGGUGACUUGUAUGAAGGAUUUGAUGAGAUAUAUACUGUCUCUUUUUGAUUUAUAAAAUUUAAUUUUUUAGUUAAAAAGCUAAAAUAUAUUUAAAAGACGAGAAGACCCUAUAGAGUUUUAUAUUUAUAUAAAUUAAGAUUUUUUAUAAGAUUUAAAAUUUUAAUUUAUAUAAAUAUUUUGUUGGGGUGAUAGAAAAAUUAAAAUAACUUUUUUUAUAAUUUUACAUUAAUAAGUGAAUAAAUGAUCCGUAAUUUACGAUUAUAAGAUAAAAUUACCUUAGGGAUAACAGCGUAAUUUUUUUUUUUAGUUCAAAUAAGAAAAAAAGUUUGCGACCUCGAUGUUGGAUUAAGAUAAAAUUUAAAUGCAAAAGUUUAAAAUUUUUGAUCUGUUCGAUCAUUAAAAUCUUACA
rnacentral:rRNA from 1 species